CACAAGCGGUGGAGCAUGUGGUUAAUUCGAAGCAACGCGAAGAACCUUACCAGGUCUUGACAUCCCCUGACAACCCAAGAGAUUGGGCGUUCCCCUUCGGGGGACAGGGUGACAGGUGGUGCAUGGUUGUCGUCAGCUCGUGUCGUGAGAUGUUGGGUUAAGUCCCGCAACGAGCGCAACCCCUAUUGUUAGUUGCCAUCAUUCAGUUGGGCACUCUAGCGAGACUGCCGGUAAUAAACCGGAGGAAGGUGGGGAUGACGUCAAAUCAUCAUGCCCCUUAUGACCUGGGCUACACACGUGCUACAAUGGUUGGUACAACGAGUUGCGAGUCGGUGACGGCGAGCUAAUCUCUUAAAGCCAAUCUCAGUUCGGAUUGUAGGCUGCAACUCGCCUACAUGAAGUCGGAAUCGCUAGUAAUCGCGGAUCAGCACGCCGCGGUGAAUACGUUCCCGGGCCUU
rnacentral:rRNA from 1 species